rnacentral:tRNA from 1 species
UCGAUGGUGGACAGUCGGUCACGGCGUCGGUCCCCUCUGUGCGCCCGCCAGCGCCGGGGCGAUGGUGAGCACGGCGUUCUUGUCGUCGGUGUCGAGC